rnacentral:rRNA from 1 species
GACGAACGCUGGCGGCGUGCUUAACACAUGCAAGUCGAACGGAAAGGCCCUGCUUUUGUGGGGUGCUCGAGUGGCGAACGGGUGAGUAACACGUGAGUAACCUGCCCUUGACUUUGGGAUAACUUCAGGAAACUGGGGCUAAUACCGGAUAGGAGCUCCUGCUGCAUGGUGGGGGUUGGAAAGUUUCGGCGGUUGGGGAUGGACUCGCGGCUUAUCAGCUUGUUGGUGGGGUAGUGGCUUACCAAGGCUUUGACGGGUAGCCGGCCUGAGAGGGUGACCGGCCACAUUAGGAAUGGGAUACGGCCCAGACUCCUACGGGAGGCAGCAGUGGGGAAUAUUGCAGAAUGGGCGGAAGCCGGAUGCAGCAACGCCGCGUGCGGGAUGACGGCCUUCGGGUUGUAAACCGCUUUCGCCUGUGACGAAGCGUGAGUGACGGUAAUGGGUAAAGAAGCACCGGCUAACUACGUG